GACGAACGCUGGCGGCGUGCCUAAUACAUGCAAGUCGAACGCAGUGGGGACGGGUGAUUAACACGUGGGUAACCUCCCAUCAGAGGGGAUAACACUUGGAAACAGGUGCUAAACCGAUACUGAUGGAUGGACCCGCGGUGCAUUAGCUAGUUGGUGAGGUAAAGGCUCACCAAGGCCACGAUGGAUAGCCGCCCGUAGAGGGGGAUCGGCCACACUGGGAUGGAGCCACGGCCCAGACGCCUACGGGAGGCAGCAGUUGGGAAUCUUCGGCAAUGGACGAAAGUCUGACCGAGCAACGCCGCGUGAGUGAAGAAGGUUUUCGGAUCGUAAAACUCUGUGGUUAGAGAAGCGGUAUCUAACCAGAAAGCCACGGCUAACGACGUGCCAGCAGCCGCGGUAAUAC
rnacentral:rRNA from 1 species